CGGGUGAGUAACACGUGGGUGACCUGCCCUUAGCUCUGGGAUAAGGCCUGGGGAAACUGGGUCUAAUACCGGAUAUGACCUCAUGACGCAUGUUGUGGGGUGGAAAGCCUUGUGCGGGCUAGGGAUGGGCCCGCGGCCUAUCAGCGUUGUUGGUGGGGUGAUGGCCUACCAAGGCGACGACGGGUAGCCGGCCUGAGAGGGCGACCGGCCACACUGGGACUGAGACACGGCCCAG
rnacentral:rRNA from 1 species